CUGUAAUGGUUCUUUGUUUAAAUGUUUUUCGCCUAAGGAUGGGUCUGCGGCCGAUUAGGUAGUUGGUUAGGUAAUGGCUUACCAAGCCGUUGAUCGGUACGGGUUGUGAGAGCAAGAGCCCGGAGAUGGAACCUGAGACAAGGUCCCAGGCCCUACGGGGCGCAGCAGGCGCGAAACCUCCACAAUGUGAGAAAUCGCGAUGGGGGGAUCCCAAGUGCCAUUCUUAACGGGAUGGCUUUUCAUUAGUGUAGAAAGCUUUUGGAAUAAGAGCUGGGCAAGACCGGUGCCAGCCGCCGCGGUAACACCGGCAGCUCUAGUGGUAGCAAUUUUUAUUGGGCCUAAAGCGUCCGUAGCCGGUUUAAUAAGUCUCUGGUGAAAUCCUGUAGCUUAACUGUGGGAAUUGCUGGAGAUACUAUUAGACUUGAGACCGGGAGAGGUUGGAGGUACUCCCAGGGUAGAGGUGAAAUUCUGUAAUCCUGGGAGGACCGCCUGUUGCGAAGGCGUCUAACUGGAACGGUUCUGACGGUGAGGGACGAAAGUUAGGGGCGCGAACCGGAUCAGAUACCCGGGUAGUUCUAACUGUAAACGAUGCGGACUUGGUGUUGGGGUGGCUUUGAGCUGUCCCAGUGCCGAAGGGAAGCUGUUAAGUCCGCCGCCUGGGAAGUACGGUCGCAAGACUGAAACUUAA
rnacentral:rRNA from 1 species